GAUAAAUUCAGUGUGUUUCUCGGCGUGCAAAGCUAUAAAUAAUGGCACAGAUCAUUAAACCCCGAGAGCAGGCCCAGCCGCCCCGCAAACAAGAUGAAGUACAAACCACCACGUGAGAGGGAGAGAGGGAGGUACAGGGGAGAACCGCAGGCCCAGCCUGUACCCCUCAACCCAGACCUAGGGAACCUGGGCUUCCAAGGCAUUUGCAGCAGAACCUGGUGUAGCUGACUGCAUAGACCCUGGAGCCCCUUCACUUGGGAAUGAGCUGGAAGGUGACAACCCAACUGAAAUCACAUCACGCAGCUGCUGUGGUACAAUGUGACAGGUGACAUGUCGCAUCUUCAGGACCUCAGUCUCCCCCAUUUCCACCCCAGAGGACCAGAGAUGGCCUGCCAUCUAGGACCCACCCAUGAAAGAACCAGAACAAAUGAAGAAGUGGAGUGAGAAAUGUUCCUGGGAAGAAAAACCUGGAAUGUACAGCUACUGAAGAGGAACCCAAAGCUUAAUCACAGACUCCUAACAUCAAAAUAAAGGGAACCAGAUAGCAGCAUUAAAAAUCUCACUCGCCACACAGGGCGGUAUUCACCAGCAAUCUUAGCAUUUUGGAGAUGGAACCUGGAGGAUCGGGAGUUAAAACUCAUCUCCAGAUACAUAAUGGGUUCUAGGCUACCUGAGACUCUGUUUCAAAUAAUAAACAAGUCUCCCCCAUACCAGAAGGCUUAUCAAUCCUGUUUCCAGAACCAAUUCCUUGCCAUGCAUCAAAAGCAUGAUCAGGCAGGGCCAGCAAGAUGGUUCUCUGGGUAAAGUACUUAUGACCUAGGUUAGAUCCCUGGAAUACAGAUAAAGGUUUCCAUAAAGACAAUGGAUUCUGUAAAGUUGUCCUCUGACCUUCCAAUGAUCCUUCAUUGGCAAUAUAUACACACGUGUAUACACAAUGAUAAAUAAAUAAUUUUAAAGUUGUACCUACUUU
rnacentral:lncRNA from 1 species